AUUGAACGCUGGCGGCAGGCCUAACACAUGCAAGUCGAGCGGAUGAAGGGAGCUUGCUCCUGGAUUCAGCGGCGGACGGGUGAGUAAUGCCUAGGAAUCUGCCUGGUAGUGGGGGAUAACGUCCGGAAACGGGCGCUAAUACCGCAUACGUCCUGAGGGAGAAAGUGGGGGAUCUUCGGACCUCACGCUAUCAGAUGAUCCUAGGUCGGAUUAGCUAGUUGGUGGGGUAAAGGCCUACCAAGGCGACGAUCCGUAACUGGUCUGAGAGGAUGAUCAGUCACACUGGAACUGAGACACGGUCCAGACUCCUACGGGAGGCAGCAGUGGGGAAUAUUGGACAAUGGGCGAAAGCCUGAUCCAGCCAUGCCGCGUGUGUGAAGAAGGUCUUAGGAUUGUAAAGCACUUUAAGUUGGGAGGAAGGGCAGUAAGUUAAUACCUUGCUGUUUUGACGUUACCAACAGAAUAAGCACCGGCUAACUUCGUG
rnacentral:rRNA from 1 species